CCUACGGGAGGCAGCAGUGAGGAAUAUUGGUCAAUGGACGAGAGUCUGAACCAGCCAAGUAGCGUGAAGGAUGACUGCCCUAUUGGUUGUAAACUUCUUUUAUAUGGGAAUAAAAUGUUCCACGUGUGGGAUUUUGUAUGUACCAUAUGAAUAAGGAUCGGCUAACUCCGUGCCAGCAGCCGCGGUAAUACGGAGGAUCCGAGCGUUAUCCGGAUUUAUUGGGUUUAAAGGGAGCGUAGGUGGAUUAUUAAGUCAGUUGUGAAAGUUUGCGGCUCAACCGUAAAAUUGCAGUUGAUACUGGCAGUCUUGAGUACAGUAGAGGUGGGCGGAAUUCGUGGUGUAGCGGUGAAAUGCUUAGAUAUCACGAAGAACUCCGAUUGCGAAGGCAGUUCACUGGACUGCAACUGACACUGAGGCUCGAAAGUGUGGGUAUCAAACAGGAUUAGAUACCCGAGUAGUC
rnacentral:rRNA from 1 species